AUAGAAUCUACAUGAAUUCUAUUGGAAUAUUCAUGGCGUAACAGGAAUUGAAGAAUGUAUGUCAAGAUUAGUGGUGAACUAAGGCUUAACUGAGCUGUGCAAGUAGCUGGAUAACAUCUG
rnacentral:lncRNA from 1 species